rnacentral:rRNA from 1 species
AAAAACAUGUCCUUUUGUUUAUUUAUUUAAAGUCUGACCUGCCCAAUGAGGAAUUGAAUGGCCGCAGUAUUUUAACUGUGCUAAGAUAGCAUAAUCAUUUGUCUUUUAAUUGAGGGCUGGAAUGAAGGGUUGGACGAGGUAUUAACUUUCUUUGAUUUAAUGAGGAGAAUUUAAUUUUUGAGUUAAAAAGCUUAAAUUUAUUUGUGGGACGAGAAGACCCUAUAGAUCUUUAUAGUUUUAUAUUUUAAUAAUUUGGGGAUUUAUUUGUUUUAAGUAGAUGAACUAUUUUGUUGGGGUGACUGUAGAAUUUAAAUAACUUCUAUUAUUUUAUUUCAUUAAUUAGUGUUUUUGUGAUCCAUAAUUUAUGAUUAUAAGAUUAAGUUACCUUAGGGAUAACAGCGUAAUUUCCUCGGAGAGUUCAUAUUGAUGUGGGAG